rnacentral:rRNA from 1 species
GAUGAACGCUGGCGGCGUGCCUAAUACAUGCAAGUCGAGCGAACGGACGAGAAGCUUGCUUCUCUGAUGUUAGCGGCGGACGGGUGAGUAACACGUGGAUAACCUACCUAUAAGACUGGGAUAACUUCGGGAAACCGGAGCUAAUACCGGAUAAUAUUUUGAACCGCAUGGUUCAAAAGUGAAAGACGGUCUUGCUGUCACUUAUAGAUGGAUCCGCGCUGCAUUAGCUAGUUGGUAAGGUAACGGCUUACCAAGGCAACGAUGCAUAGCCGACCUGAGAGGGUGAUCGGCCACACUGGAACUGAGACACGGUCCAGACUCCUACGGGAGGCAGCAGUAGGGAAUCUUCCGCAAUGGGCGAAAGCCUGACGGAGCAACGCCGCGUGAGUGAUGAAGGUCUUCGGAUCGUAAAACUCUGUUAUUAGGGAAGAACAUAUGUGUAAGUAACUGUGCACAUCUUGACGGUACCUAAUCAGAAAGCCACGGCUAACUACGUGCCAGCAGCCGCGGUAAUACGUAGGUGGCAAGCGUUAUCCGGAAUUAUUGGGCGUAAAGCGCGCGUAGGCGGUUUUUUAAGUCUGAUGUGAAAGCCCACGGCUCAACCGUGGAGGGUCAUUGGAAACUGGAAAACUUGAGUGCAGAAGAGGAAAGUGGAAUUCCAUGUGUAGCGGUGAAAUGCGCAGAGAUAUGGAGGAACACCAGUGGCGAAGGCGACUUUCUGGUCUGUAACUGACGCUGAUGUGCGAAAGCGUGGGGAUCAAACAGGAUUAGAUACCCUGGUAGUCCACGCCGUAAACGAUGAGUGCUAGGUGUUAGGGGGUUCCGCCCCUUAGUGCUGCAGCUAACGCAUUAAGCACUCCGCCUGGGGAGUACGACCGCAAGGUUGAGACUCAAAGGAAUUGACGGGGACCCGCACAAGCGGUGGAGCAUGUGGUUUAAUUCGAAGCAACGCGAAGAACCUUACCAAAUCUUGACAUCCUUUGACAACUCUAGAGAUAGAGCUUUCCCCUUCGGGGGACAAAGUGACAGGUGGUGCAUGGUUGUCGUCAGCUCGUGUCGUGAGAUGUUGGGUUAAGUCCCGCAACGAGCGCAACCCUUAAGCUUAGUUGCCAUCAUUAAGUUGGGCACUCUAAGUUGACUGCCGGUGACAAACCGGAGGAAGGUGGGGAUGACGUCAAAUCAUCAUGCCCCUUAUGAUUUGGGCUACACACGUGCUACAAUGGACAAUACAAAGGGCAGCGAAACCGUGAGGUCAAGCAAAUCCCAUAAAUUUGUUCUCAGUUCGGAUUGUAGUCUGCAACUCGACUACAUGAAGCUGGAAUCGCUAGUAAUCGUAGAUCAGCAUGCUACGGUGAAUACGUUCCCGGGUCU